GUCUAUGGUCAUACCACCCUGCACAUGCUCAAUCUUGUGUGAUCUCAGAAGCUAAGCAGAGUCAGGCCUGGUUACUUCUUGGAUGGUAGAAU
rnacentral:rRNA from 1 species